rnacentral:rRNA from 1 species
AAAGCUCGUAGUUGGAUUUCGGAGCACUCACGAUGCUGACCGAUGAAACGUCGUGUUCGGCGCGUGGGUCUCCUCUUCUUGGGGAUUCAAGUGGGUGGCGGGUAAAACCGUCAUUCGCUCCCCAUCGUUUACUUUAAGAAAAUUGGAGUGCUCAAAGCAGGCACAACCCUGCCUUGAACAAUGCAGCAUGGGAUAAUAGAACAGGACGAAGGUCCUAUUUUGUUGGUUUAUAGGGCUUUUGUAAUGAUUAAAAGGGACAGUUGGGGGCAUUCGUAUUCAAUUGUCAGAGGUGAAAUUCUAGGAUUAAUUGAAGACGAACUACUGCGAAAGCAUUUGCCAAGGAUGUUUUCAUUAAUCAAGAACGAAAGUAGGGGGAUCGAAGAUGAUCAGAUACCGUCGUAGUCUCUACCAUAAACGAUGCCGACCAGGGAUCCGGAGAAGUUACGUGGAUGACUCCCCGGGCACCUUGUGAGAAAUCAUA